UCGAAGAACUGGUAGGAUGGGGCAAGAGAAAACAGCCCUGGCUGAUCCCACGGAGUCUAUUAAGCAAGGAGAUGGAAUUGUUACCCUUGGCCACCACUCUGAUAUUGCCCAGAGAUACCUGGAUGCCCGCCAGUCCUGGAUCUUCAUUUCUCAGACAUCACUUGCAGUUACUACGGAGAAGUCAUCCAAUCCCCGGCCAACCUCACAUCAUAGUCUCUGAGCCUCAUCGUCACCAACGUUAUUGAAAUGGAUUCUCUCGUUUGCAUGGCCUGGGGUCUCUUCUAUGUCUUGAAAAUCAGACACCCAGUUGGCCGAGUCUUCUCCAGGGUCCAGUCAAUUCACUGUUUAAUCUUAGCGCAGAUGCAUUGAGAAGAACUGGAGCCUGGAACCUGAAGAAAUGGAAGAGGUAAUGUGGCUAAAGGCUAGGAUCUGGUCGGCUGGUCCGGCAGCUCA